CUCGAUCCCAUAACGCCGGGAUCACGCCCUGAGCCGAAGGCAGGCGCUUAACCGCUGUGCCACCCAGGCGCCCCUAAUAAAUUAAUUUUUAUUCGGAUUCUGUCCAUUUAAUUUUUGUUACAUGCUUCUCAACCAUGCUCGUUCCUCAUUGCUUUUAGGCAUAGAACUUCCUAAAUAAUUAGCCUGAGCAAGAACACGUUGGUAUUAGCAGCUGUAACACAUUGCAUUUCUGGCAGUGGAAUUCUGCAGACAGACUCUGAGUCCUCGCACCGUGUCCCUGAACAAAGAAGCCUUGCUUCUGAGCAUGUGCGUCUCGACAAGGACCUUCAAGUCUUGUUCUUAGUAGACCAGCAUCUUUUCUAUCUCUGUACGUUGGGAAUUAUCAGUCGGGUGUCACCGAGUCUUGAAUUCGAUCCAGUAUCUGGUACGCGACAAGUGGAAAGAUUAAACUGGAGCAGUGUAAUUAGGGUAAGCCACAGCAUCUGCACUGGGAGCACAGCAACUGAAUUUGGAGCCAGCUGCAAACUGGUGACUAAUCUCCCUGGCAAGCCCACAUGAGAGUGCCGGACAAUGAGGCAGCCUCAGCCUCACGAGCACGUGUUCCUUCAACUUGCCUCUGAGCAGGUGAUGGCGAUGAUGCAAUCUGAUUAUACUUGUGAAUGUAUUUUAACCACAGUCAACAGUGGAGUCUCGCAAGGGGUUUCACAAAAGACUUCAACGAAAUAAUUUUUCACGUAGUUUCCACUGUAGAAGGCCGUGGAAACCAGUAUCUUUUUUUUUUUCUUUCACCUCAGUGACUGUAGUUCUUUAUGGUACUUUAUAGUCUUAAAUUUGAGAGGUUCUAAUUAGUUUUUACAUGUGAAACGAAGAUGAGAAAAAUCACGUGAAAAGAAAAAAGUGCUUGAACUUGGAGCUCUUAUUCCGAAUCGUUCACAACUGCUUAUAUUGAUCAAUUAAAAUAAUUAAAGUGUUCAGACUGUUGAAUUCUGUGCACGCAGGAGAUAGUGAGUCGGCG
rnacentral:lncRNA from 1 species